rnacentral:rRNA from 1 species
AUGGCAAAGUUUUGGUGGAGUGGUUCCCUUGAUCGCAGCUCGUUGCAUUGGGUGGCAUGGGACAAACUUGCAUCUCCAAAAGCCCGAGGUGGCAUGGGUUUUCGUGAUCUCGAGUUGUUCAACUUGGCGCUAUUGGGUAAACAUGGUUGGAGAUUUAUUACAAAUCCCAAUUCGCUUUGUGCAUGGGUCAUGAAGGGGUGCUACUUCCCUGAUUGUGAGUUUAUGGAUGCUUCUGUUACACAUUCAUCUUCGAUGAUUUGGCGAGCCAUUGUGGCAGGUAAGGAAGCGCUCACAACAGGUUUAAUCAAAAGAGUUGGCGAUGGAACUACCAUUUCCAUUUGGGAGGAUCGAUGGAUCCCGGGUCUGCCCACUUUGUCCCCUUCGGUUAUACCUGGGGGUACAACACUUGGUAUUGUUGAUCAACUUAUUGAUGCUGAAAAUUGGACAUGGCGGCAAGAGUUGGUCAUGCAGUUUUUUAUCCUACCGGAGGCCGAAGCUAUCCUGAAUAUUCCUUUGCGCCAUGGUGGGGGUGAUGAUUUUCAAGCAUGGGCUCAUGAAAGAAGUGGUGUCUAUUCUGUUAACUCCGCGUACCGUGCUCUCGUGACUCGGAAAGAGCGUACUGCUCUAGAGGAAGGGACGGUGACCAAUACCUCACAGACCGAAGAACAGAUGUGGAAACUGCUUUGGAAGCUCAAGGUUUUGCCGAAGGUGCGAGUAUUCUGGUGGCGGGUUGUCCGUGGUAUUUUACCAGAUGAGUGCACCCUCCGGCGUCGUCAUAUCAAAGUCAUCAGUAGAUGA